UUUGGAUGAGAUGGUCCUUCUUUUGAUCUUGCAUCCCACGUGAGCAAGUGCUACACCUCACGGGUUAAACCAAUCAAUGUUUGCCGCGUGUGAGUAAGAGCACUCAUUUCACGUGGCAAUGGUUUAUGAUUGAAGCUUGGAAGCUGAGCCAAUAAGAGAAGAAAAGAUGGCGAAUGCAUGGAAUAAAAUAAGGCAUCAUAUGAAGUUGCAGAGUAU
rnacentral:lncRNA from 1 species